rnacentral:lncRNA from 1 species
GGGUGCACACUGGGCAUCUGGGAGUUUAUGACAUCACAAUGGGGCUGGUGACAGAGCUAGGGUGUGGAGGAGUGCUUAGGAGCCCAGCGAGGGUGCCUACAAGAGGAGUCAAAGGGCAAAGGUCCUGGGGUACUUAGCACCGUGGCAUAUCUGUAAUAAGCACAUGCACACCUCGAAGGAGGUCUUCACUUCAACAUACAAGUUGACCAUGGCAUGCUCUGGGCUCCAGUCCUCUACAAAGAUGUAGGGCAGGAACUACCAGUUGUCAGCACAGCACCAUCCCACAUUGCUCUUCUAAUGGAGACUUUCACCCCAGAUGUUCUUUCUCGUCUGAUGGGAAGGAUCCAAAUGAAAAAAUUGAGGCUCAAAGAAGUCCACCAAAUUGAGAGUGAAGUAGGGGAAACAGCAUUUAACGCUUACAUUCUAAUGAUUUGUGUAAGAGCAGCAGGACAAGCUAUACAAAGAAAAAGGUGGAAUUAUCAGGAUGGAAUUAAAGAUGCUUCCAAACAGAGGGGAUAUCUCAAGCCAUGACUCAGAGAGUUCUCCCCACAUUAUUAAUGGUAUGGGAAUUAGGAGAAGGUCAUCUGACUCACAUGGAUCACCAUAUAAUUCCUUCUGGAGAACAGAAAAAAUGCAGAAGAGGAAAACCUCCAUAUGUGAAGCUAUGGCAAGGGAGUCUCCCCACCCCGCGCUCCAACAGAGUCUGGAGAUAAAUACCAGUCCAUAUUCUGCUGCUACCUCCCUCGUUGACCACUUUGACUUCAUUCAGCAUUUUAUGCGAGAGGCACAAGGAAAACAAGGAAUCAGUGCUGCUCUAUGAAUCAUUUGUCAAAGGGAGAUUUAAAUGCAUGUUCCUUACCUGCCUAGAGGAAAAUACA